UACGUAGGGGGGCAAGCGUUGUCCGGAUUUAUUGGGCGUAAAGAGCUCGUAGGUGGUUCGGUAAGUCGGAUGUGAAAUCUCCAGGCUCAACCUGGAGGGGUCAUUCGAUACUGCCGUGACUAGAGGUCGGUAGGGGAGUGUGGAAUUCCUGGUGGAGCGGUGAAAUGCGCAGAUAUCAGGAAGAACACCGACGGCGAAGGCAGCUCGCUGGGACGGUACUGACGCUGAGGCGCGAAAGCGUGGGGAGCGAACAGG
rnacentral:rRNA from 1 species